ACGCACGCUGGCGGCAGGCCUAACACAUGCAAGUCGAGCGGACCCUUCGGGGUUAGCGGCGGACGGGUGAGUAACGCGUGGGAAUAUGCCCUUCUCUACGGAAUAGUCCUGGGAAACUGGGGGUAAUACCGUAUACGCCCUUUGGGGGAAAGAUUUAUCGGGGAAGGAUUAGCCCGCGUUGGAUUAGGUAGUUGGUGGGGUAAUGGCCUACCAAGCCGACGAUCCAUAGCUGGUUUGAGAGGAUGAUCAGCCACACUGGGACUGAGACACGGCCCAGACUCCUACGGGAGGCAGCAGUGGGGAAUCUUAGACAAUGGGGGCAACCCUGAUCUAGCCAUGCCGCGUGAGUGAUGAAGGCCUUAGGGUUGUAAAGCUCUUUCAGCUGGGAAGAUAAUGACGGUACCAGCAGAAGAAGCCCCGGCUAACUCCGUG
rnacentral:rRNA from 1 species